GGAGUCACAACUUACUUUUAGUGCAUUGAUUGGGUUCAAUUCCGCCUCUAGCACUUGCUCAAAUUUUUAUUUGACAGUAGUACCCGCUAAUUCCAAAUAUUAGGUCCGCCUCCGCGAAUAUCUAUAUAUAGCAGUGGUCUUUACUCACUUCCCACCUUGAACUAAAGCAGCUUGUCAUAGUAUUAGUGAGAGCUUACACAUCAAGAAGCCAGCUGAAAUCAAUUCAGAAAUGGGUCAGAGGAAAACUUUUGGGUUUAUCUUUGUGCUUCUCAUGAUUUUUGCCUUACAAAUGGAAAUGAUGCCACAAGUAGAAGCAAGAGUUUGCAUGUCACCUAGCCAUGGAUAUCAUGGACCUUGUUGGCAUGAUCACAACUGUGCUCUUGUUUGCAGAAAUGAAGGUUUUUCUGGUGGUGACUGUGUUGGUAUUCAACGCAAAUGCUAUUGCACUAAGUUUUGUUAAUUAAUUUCUAUCUCUGCCACAUAAAACAAAUGGAGGCACUAAUUUCUAUCUGUUUUCGUUCCUCUUUUAUCUGUUUAAUUUCUAUCCUUUUGGAAGGAUAUUUAUGAUGCUUGUUUGUAGCCUUUCUUAAUCAUUCAAUGAAGAUUUUCAAUUCGUCUUUGCUGAA